rnacentral:rRNA from 1 species
GACGGAGGAUGCAAGCGUUAUCCGGAAUUAUUGGGCGUAAAGCGUCCGCAGGUGGACAUACAAGUCUGCUGUCAAAGUGCAGAGCUUAACUCUGUAAAGGCGGUGGAAACUGUAGGUCUUGAGUAUGGUAGGGGUAGAGGGAAUUCCCGGUGUAGCGGUGAAAUGCGUAGAUAUCGGGAAGAACACCAGUGGCGAAAGCGCUCUACUGGGCCACAACUGACACUGAGGGACGAAAGCUAGGGGAGCGAAAGGG